UGUGUGUGUAUAUCUGUGUGUGUGUGUGUGUCUACCUCCAAAGUGCUCCAACUUUAAAUGACAUCCAUAGUUUGUUCUAAUAUAUUCAACUCAACGGCAUUCUUUCAUAUUGCAUAAUACACAACAUGCGUCCCAUUAAUCAAAGACAAGUUGUCUCAAAAGGUAGGUUAUGAUGCGACGUCCAUCAUUGUAUGGCCCAUCAAGCUGGAACCCUAAUGCAUGAGUCUGGAAUGAAAGCCCUGAUGGCAUAGUUGCUCGAGUAUGGCCUUCUAAAAAUCUUGGCAAGUAAUACAAUAAGACUCCAUAUUAUUUGUCAAGCAUCACAAUGAUAUAAUUUGUUACAUAUGUAUUGUCAAAUGGUUUAUGCAUUUACAUUGCCAUCUCCCACUUCUAGGUUUUUAAGAUUUGUCGAUUUUCAUCUUUUAAUUGAACAAGAUAACAUGUUCCAACUUCUAAAAAACUUUCACCAUCCAAAUAGCUCAAUAUAACAAAAUUCGCAGAAGCACAAUUCUUGAAGUCAUGUUCAAAAUAUCAUACAGGUAAGGCCACAACAUGCUAGCAUCGAGAUCUAAAUAAUGCCCAACAAGUUGAAAGUAACAUACCUUGCUAAGAAUUGGCUUCAAA
rnacentral:misc_RNA from 1 species